AAGGCCCCAGGAACACCACACAGCC
rnacentral:piRNA from 1 species